rnacentral:rRNA from 1 species
AGUCGAACGGCAGCACGGACUACGGUCUGGUGGCGAGUGGCGAACGGGUGAGUAAUGUAUCGGAACGUGCCUAGUAGCGGGGGAUAACUACGCGAAAGCGUAAUAAUACCAUGCCUUCGGGGGAAAGCGGGGGACCUUCGGGCCUCGCACUAUUAGAGCGGCCGAUAUCGGAUUAGCUAGUUGGUGGGGUAGCGGCUCGCAAGGCGACGAUCCGUAGCUGGUUUGAGAGGACGACCAGCCACACUGGGACUGAGACACGGCCCAGACUCCUACGGGAGGCAGCGGUGGGGAAUUUUGGACAAUGGGGAAACCCUGAUCCAGCCAUCCCGCGUGUGCGGCCUUCCGGGUUGUAAAGCACACUUUUGGCAGGAAAGAAACGGCACGGGAUAAUACCCGUGCAACUGACGAACCACCUGCAGAAUAAGCACCGGCUUCAACUACAUUGCCAGCAGCCGCGGUAAUACGUAAGUGCAAGCGUUAAUCGGAAUUACUGGGCGUAAAGCGUGCGCAGGCGGUUCGGAAAGAAAGAUGUGAAAUCCCAGAGCUUAACUUUGGAACUGCAUUUUAACUACCGAGCUAGAGUGUGUCAGAGGGAGGUGGAAUUCCGCGUGUAGCAGUGAAAUGCGUAGAUAUGCGGAGGAACACCGAUGGCGAAGGCAGCCUCCUGGGAUAAUACUGACGCUCAUGCACGAAAGCGUGGGAGCAAACAGGAUUAGAUACCCUGGUAGUCCACGCCUAAACGAUGUCAACUAGCUGUUGAGGCCUUCGGAGCCUUGGUAGCGCAACUAACCGCGUGAAGUUGACCGCCUGGGGAGUACGGUCGCAAGAUUAAAACUCAAGGAAUUGACGGGGACCCGCACAAGCGGUGGAUGAUGUGGAUUAAUUCGAUGCAACGCGAAAACCCUUACCUACCCUUGACAUGUCUGGAAUCCCGAAGAGAUUUGGGAGUGCUCGCAAGAACCGGAACACAGGUGCUGCAUGGCUGUCGUCAGCUCGUGUCGUGAGAUGUUGGGUUAGAAGUCCCGCAACGAGCGCAACCCUUGUCAUUAGUUGCUACGAAAGGGCACUCUAAUGAGACUGCCGGUGACAAACCGGAGGAAGGUGAGGAUGACGUCAAAGUCCUCAUGGCCACUAUGGUGGGGCUUCACACGUCAUACAAUGGUCGGGACAGAGGGGUCGCCAACCCGCGAGGGGGAGCCAAUCCCAGAAACCCGAUCGUAGUCCGGAUCGCAGUCUGCAACUCGACUGCGUGAAGUCCAGAAUCGCUAGUAAUCGCGGAUCAGCAGCAUGUCGCGGUGAAUACGUUCCCGGGUCUUGUACACACCGCCCGUCACACCAUGGGAGUGGGUUUUACCAGAAGUAGUUAGCCUAACCGUAAGGAGGACGAUUACCACGGUAGGAUUCAUGACUGGGGUGAAGUCGUAACAAAAUGG